rnacentral:rRNA from 2 species
GAUUCCCUGAGUAGCGGCGAGCGAAACGGGAUUAGCCCAAACCAAGAGGCUUGCCUCUUGGGGUUGUAGGACACUCUGUACGGAGUUACAAAAGAACGAGGUAGAUGAAGAGGUCUGGAAAGGCCCGCCAUAGGAGGUAACAGCCCUGUAGUCAAAACUUCGUUCUCUCCUGAGUGGAUCCUGAGUACGGCGGAACACGUGAAAUUCCGUCGGAAUCCGGGAGGACCAUCUCCCAAGGCUAAAUACUCCCUAGUGACCGAUAGUGAACCAGUACCGUGAGGGAAAGGUGAAAAGCACCCCGGAAGGGGAGUGAAAGAGAUCCUGAAACCGUGUGCCUACAAGUAGUCAGAGCCCGUUAACGGGUGAUGGCGUGCCUUUUGUAGAAUGAACCGGCGAGUUACGAUCCCGUGCAAGGUUAAGCAGAAGAUGCGGAGCCGCAGCGAAAGCGAGUCUGAAUAGGGCGCAUGAGUACGUGGUCGUAGACCCGAAACCAGGUGAUCUACCCAUGUCCAGGGUGAAGUUCAGGUAACACUGAAUGGAGGCCCGAACCCACGCACGUUGAAAAGUGCGGGGAUGAGGUGUGGGUAGGGGUGAAAUGCCAAUCGAACCUGGAGAUACCUCGUUCUCUCCGAAAUAGCUUUAGGGCUAGCCUCAAGGUAAGAGUCUUGUAGGUAGAGCACUGAUUGGACUAGGGGCCCCUACCGGGUUACCGAAUUCAGUCAAACUCCGAAUGCCAAUGACUUAUCCUUGGGAGUCACACUGCUAGUGAUAAGAUCCGCAGUCGAAAGGGAAA